ACUCGAAUAGUCAAGUGGCCAAGACGCCUUGAGAUCAUAACAUCCUGAAGGACUUGAGAUAUUUCAAGGAGGCGGGGGUUCAAUUCCUCCUUUGAGUG